rnacentral:rRNA from 1 species
AUUGAACGCUGGCGGCAUGCCUUACACAUGCAAGUCGAACGGUAACAGGUCUUCGGAUGCUGACGAGUGGCGAACGGGUGAGUAAUACAUCGGACGGGGCCUAGUGUGGGGGGAUAACUACCGGAAAAAGGGGCUAAUACCGAUGGGGAUCUACGGAUGAAAGCAGGGAAUCGCAAAACCUUGUGCUACAAAAGCGGCGGAGGGCAGAUUAGGGAGUUGGUGGGAUAAAAGCUGACCAAGCCGACGAUCUGAAGCGGGUUUGAGAGGACGAUCAGCCACACUGGGACUGAGACACGGCCCAGACUCCUACGGGAGGCAGCAGUGGGGAAUUUUGGACAAUGGGCGCAAGCCUGAUCCAGCAAUGCCGCGUGCAGGAUGAAGGACUUCGGGUUGUAAACUGCUUUUGUACGGAACGAAAAGCCCUGGGUUAAUACCCUGGGGUCAUGACGGUACCGUAAGAAUAAGCACCGGCUAACUACGUGCCAGCCGCCGCAGUAACAC